UGUCCAUAUCACGUUGAAACACUGGUCCCGUACUAUCACCGAAGUUAAGCAACGUAGAACCUGGUCAGUACCUAGAUAGGCGACCGCUUAGCAAUACCAGGUGCUGUG